rnacentral:rRNA from 1 species
GACGAACGCUGGCGGCGUGCUUAACACAUGCAAGUCGAACGAUGAAGAAGAGAAACGCGAACUUCGGUUCAAAUUUCACUUCGGAUUAGUGGCAGACGGGUGAGUAACGCGUGAGCAACCUACCUCUUACAAAGGGAUAGCCUCGGGAAACCGUGAUUAAUACCAUAUGACACAUUCAUAAGGCAUCUUAAGAAUGUUAAAGCUACGGCGGUAAGAGAUGGGCUCGCGUCCCAUUAGCUAGUUGGUGAGGUAACGGCCCACCAAGGCGACGAUGGGUAACCGGCCUGAGAGGGGGAACGGUCACAUUGGAACUGGGACACGGUCCAAACGCCUACGGGAGGCAGCAGUGGGGAAUAUUGCACAAUGGAGGGAACUCUGAUGCAGCGACGCCGCGUGAGCGAUGAAGGAAUUCGUUUCGUAAAGCUCUGUUCUAGGGGAAGAAAAGGACUGUACCAUAGGAGAAAGCCCCGGCUAAAUACGU